ACACAAAAUAAGAAACGGCCGCGUAAUGUGGGGUACCUGUGGAUAUCAGCGGGAGGGCCUCCCACCCGCUGAAAGCUGCUGAGGCGUCCACUUAAUUAAGGCUAGUCGAUAGUAUUGACCCUCGGCGGGAGUUCGGAAUUGUACGACCGCGAAGGUUUCGGCCUUAAUUGCUGAGCGAUUGCUUGGAGGACCCUUGAGACCUCUCCUUGACGAACUACACCCUUCACUUGAGAAGUGUCCUUCUCAAAUAGUGGGGUGGGAGGGGGCGCUAUGCCUCAGGGGCAGUGUGUGUGACCUCAGGGCACAUGCAAGUGUAAUAGCACAUCCACUGCAGUAGAUGGCAGUGGUGACAAAUGUCGCAAAAAGCUCCUCUUUUCAUGUCAAACUUUAUUUUUGUCAUUGCUGUUCAUGUUUUGUACCUCCGAGCGCUCGGUCCUUGCCCACGGGCUUUACUUUUGACGACCCCGGAUUCCAAACGGCUGUAAAAUAUGUUGAAAGGCUGCAAAAGCCAAAUGGAGAGAAGGGAAAACUCUUCUAAUCACACGCGCCACUUUGUCUUCAUUUUAAUAUAGUGACGCUCACGCGUUACCGUCUCGGGGAAGACGAAGCGAAAAGGAAAGGAUUAAUCCACGGGAUUUCAAUCUGUUUCCGGACACUGUGUCAUCCUCUUUUAUUAUUCUCAGACAUGCAGCAGCUUUGCCGCACACGCAUGUGCAUGGAAAUGGCUUGAUCAUUUUGCUGCGUGCGUGUUGUCGGGCCCUCCGCGCGCAGCCAGCGCUCUCCGCUCAACGCACUCGAGAAUGUAUUCAUUGGUCUCGAGAGCUCCUUGCGCCAUCGCUGUAGCUGCACCUCUCCAUCAUUUUGGCAGCCGUCGUCACAACGAGUGCGCGCGUGCAUGCAUGCGUGCGUGCGGCCGUCCGUCCGUGGCCGUGCUUGAUUGGAAGUGUAAACAUAUCCUUAUGGAUUGGAUGUGGGCGUGUUUGGUUGUCGUCAAGGAUGCACGACUAGAGGAUGCUCCCGUCCUCUGAUGGAGGACCGACCGGGGCUUCUUUCAGAUCGAAUAAUACA